rnacentral:rRNA from 1 species
UAGGUUCCAAAAUUAUUGUUAAGUGAAAAUAAGGUAGUGUUUAUCCAAGCCAACCAGGAAAUGGGCUUAGGAGCGGCCAUUUUUUAAAGAUCUCGUAACAGAGCACUGGUUUUAUACACUUUUGUAUGUAUUGUUAGAUGCACCUAAAAUUUAACGGAUCUAAAUAAUAUACCGAGACCUUGUCCAUAAAUAUUUAUAUGUACAAGUUACAUAUAAUAUAUAUGGGGUAGCGGAACAUUGGGCAUAUCUCAGAUUUUUUCUUUUUAAGACUUAAGAUUAGAUGACCCAAGUGAUAAUGCUGACAUGAGUAACGAUAAAGGGUUUAUACCCUCGCCUAAAGCUUAUGGAAUUUACUUAAAGUAACGGCCUCUAAGUUUAAAUUUGCUAUAGUUUAAACAAACAACACUUGAUACCUAACUCUAACAGACGAUACAAGUGCAAAAUAGUAAACACCUAAUGGUAUAAACGAUGAGAAAAAGCUAAGUUUUACAGAUAUAAAUAGCAUGAGUGUUGCAGGUAGGUAUUAUAUAUGUAAUGGAUUUUUUUUUUUAUAGAAACUAGAAAAAUUAUAGAUUUAAUAGUUAUUUUGUGCUAAAGUGACAAAUGCUCUGGAAAAAUGUAAAACUACUGACGUGUUAGAGAGUAGGCGAGGUUCAAUCCCUUGUCCAUUAAUAAGCU